rnacentral:rRNA from 1 species
UACAGAGGUGCCGAGCGUUAGGCGGAAUCACUGGGCUUAAAGCGUGUGUAGGCGGAUCCGUAAGUACCUUGUGAAAUCCCACGGCUCAACCGUGGAACUGCUUGGUAUACUGCGGGUCUUGAGCCACCUAGGGGCGAGCGGAACAAGUGGUGGAGCGGUGAAAUGCGUAGAUAUCACUUGGAACGCCAAUGGUGAAAACAGCUCGCUGGGGGUGUGCUGACGCUGAGACACGAAAGCCAGGGGAGCAAACGGG